AACAUCGUGAUAGUCACGACCAGGUCUCCCCUGUGAUGAUAACCAUAUGGACAGGGGUCGGGUCACACGGCCACGCCACGGUGGCAGUCAGGAGAGGACACGACGUGGGAGAGGACAGAGUAAAGUAGGGUAGAGUACAGAGGGCUGAGAAACAGAAUGAAGUUGAAUUUAUCAACUAUAUGGCUGUCACCUGUAUUUGAACGUGCACGUGACAUUCUGGUAGUGCAGCUGGGGUGGAGAUGAGGCAAGUUCAACCAAGAUAGAGAUGGGAACUGGGAGAUCGAGAGAACUGAGGACGUGGCAAGGCUACUGCAGUACUGGACCUGUGAAGUGUGAUGGGUGACGCGCGGGGCAAGGAGGCAGAAAGAACACAUAUAAAGAUGCCUGCCGAUCCCUGACCCUGAAGAGAACGCCAGCCCGGAGUAAUCUUCCAUGACCACUAUAUAGACACUCGGGGAGCGAGACAAGAUGCGGCGGGUACGGGCGGUGGAGGGCUAAGUGGGAAAGACAUCUCAAAACUACUCGUCAGAAGGAAAGUCGCAACGCCACAGGGGUCCGAACAGUCUAUGUGGUGACCAUCUGAGACGGUGGUGACUCCCAAGUGAUGAAGGAAUCGUCUAAGCAGUUUGGGUCAACGUCCUUUUGUAUGUCAUCGAGCAACGUCCUGUCUACACUCCUCUACGGCUCUGAAUCAUGGAAUUUGAAAACCAGCCAUGAGAAGAAGCUUGACGCCUUCGACAGCAAGUGCGUGAGGAAGAUCUUGGGUAUUAAAUGGAGUGACUUUGUCUCAAACAAAGACAUAAGAGCACAAACAAGACAACAACCAGUGUCCUCCAUCAUAUGCAAACGACGGUUGAGCUGGCUAGGACAUGUGGUCCGACUCCCACCCGAGAGAUUUGCUCACCAAGUUCUCCAGUGGAAACCUCAAGGUCGGAGAAGGAGGGGCCGUCCUAAGAUGAACUGGCAGCAGACAGUUGACAGAGAUCUCCUGCCAGCAGGCAAGAGAUGGAAAGAUGUGUGGAGACUGGCUGCAGACAGGGCGUGCUGGAAUACUCUAACUGCCUCAUGCGUCGCACGAAGUGGGAGCUACUAAGUCUAACUGUUCCCACUUCGUCCCUAUCCGCAGUUACAACGCCGCAGGGAUACGUACUUGACGAUUACGUCAGACGUUGGCGAUUCCAGUAGGUCAAUCAUCGAAGCAGCUGCGGGUCAACGUCUUUCGGUAUGUCGUCAAGGCCAACCUACCGGACAAGAACGACGACGUGUUCCUGACAGACGUAUAUCAUGUCCAUCAGGACGACACAUUCCCGCCACACCCAACAUAGAGACUCUUACCGCCACAAGGGAAGUAGAUCGAGUCCCUUCACGAAAAGUGGCCAUCGCUGAGAGGAGCCAGAAUAAACGUUUGUGCGCUUGAAAAUUUUGAACAGAAGGGGGCACAUAACAUCCAGAACAGCGCCAUCGACAGAAGGAAGGCAACAUGAGGGAAGUAGAGGCCAGUAGCAGAGCCAAGACGUGUAGCCGAUAGAUUGCGAUCAUACUUGUACAUGUAUAGAAAACCUGACAUGACACCAGUUAUAGAAUUCACGGAUUGACUAAUAGAUUGACUGUUUAUAUAUCACAAAUAUGUAUUUUAGUGUAUACAUUGUGGUAGUUUAUUUUAUAUGUAUAUCAAUGGACAUUAGAUGAAAUAACCGUUGUUUCGCGGAGUGACCUGUCUGUUUGAAACACCAAAAUUUGAACACGAGAUGUAAUGUAUUUGUAUGACAGAGGGUCAGAGAGUACAGUUCAGAAGAGAAAGACCGAGGUUAGCGAGGUCA